UACGAAGGGUGCAAGCGUUACUCGGAAUUACUGGGCGUAAAGCGUGCGUAGGUGGUUUGUUAAGUCUGAUGUGAAAGCCCUGGGCUCAACCUGGGAAUUGCAUUGGAUACUGGCAGGCUAGAGUGCGGUAGAGGAUGGCGGAAUUCCCGGUGUAGCAGUGAAAUGCGUAGAGAUCGGGAGGAACAUCUGUGGCGAAGGCGGGUCUCUGGGCAACAACUGACGCUGAGGAGCGAAAGCGUGGGGAGCGAACAGG
rnacentral:rRNA from 1 species